GGGCCGGCUUCCGACAUGGAGGAGGCUGAGCAGUCCGACCAAAGCUUUCUCGCCUCCCCUACACGAUGCGUGACCUCCCCUAAAAUGUCUCUCCGAGCCCUCGACAACGGAGGAGGAGGGGACGCGGCGGGGAGAUCCGGCGGCGAAGGGGGAGAGCUGGAACCGUUGAGGCAACACCACAUCGACUCCAUGCCCCUUCCAUUACCGGUUGAGGCUUAGCUCAUGCGAUUGAGCUCGUCACCUAUAAACAAGGAUGCCGCGGCACAGAGUUUGCAAGGGGGAAUGGCGUGCAGGACUGCAGGUGGUUGUGUUCGCAAUUCGCUAAGUCAAAGACCGUGCCCGAGGACUGCUCUGAGGGAGCUCAAGGUAGAUUGUAUUCUGCUUGUCGGUUACUUGAAGUUUGUUCUUGUUGAGCUGGUUCAAGUGUAAAGAUCGAUCCUGAAUAUCACCCUUCACUGUUCCCAGCAUUCGUUG